GAUGAACGCUAGCGACAGGCUUAACACAUGCAAGUCGAGGGGCAGCGGGGAUUUCGCUCGCUAAAUCUGCCGGCGACCGGCGCACGGGUGAGUAACGCGUAUGCAACCUACCUAUCAGUAAGGGAUAGCCCAUUGAAAGAUGGAUUAAUACCUUAUAAAGCAGGGAUCCCGCAUGGGAACAUUUGCUAAAGAUUUAUUGCUGAUAGAUGGGCAUGCGUUCCAUUAGUUAGUUGGUGAGGUAAUGGCUCACCAAGGCUACGAUACAUAGGGGGACUGAGAGGUUAACCCCCCACACUGGUACUGAGACACGGACCAGACUCCUACGGGAGGCAGCAGUGAGGAAUAUUGGUCAAUGGACGCAAGUCUGAACCAGCCAUGCCGCGUGCAGGAUGACGGCUCUAUGAGUUGUAAACUGCUUUUUUACAGGGGUAAAAUCGGAUACGUGUAUCCGACUGAAAGUACUGUACGAAUAAGGAUCGGCUAACUCCGUGCCAGCGGCCGCGGUAACAC
rnacentral:rRNA from 1 species